GCUCUACAGACGAUGUUGUCAAGAGAAUCAGACGACAAGUCACAGACUGGAAGAGAAUAUUUGCAAAAGUCCUAUCUGAUAAAGAGCAUCCUGUCCGUUCCCUUCAUUCUGCUGAGGUCCAGAGAAGCAAAAUGCCUUGUCCAAGACCACUGAGUGGGAAAGGGAGUCUGACAUGAUAGAGAAUAAUGAAGUUUUGGAGUGAUGGUGGGGUGAUCCAGAGCCAACGACCAAGAAAGAAUUCUUGAAGAUGUCUUUGGUGCAAAAAGGCUCCUUUCCCAGCGUGGGGCUUGAACUCAGGACCCUGAUAUCAAGAGUCAUAUGCUUCACUGACUGAGCCAGCCAGGUGCCCCCCAUUGUGCUCAUUUCUUAUUGCACUUUCUUGAAGCAUUGAUGAAAGUAUUUGCAAGGACCAGAGAACAUUCCAAUCAUCAGGCCAGAAAAGCCCUGAUAGCAAGAGAUGCUUAGAAGACCACCCCCAUACACCCCUUUCCUGGUCAAUGAUCAAGAACACAUACUGACCCCCACCCAUGAUCAUGUGCUCUCCGCCUGCUCUCUUGUAUGUACUGCCCCUCCCCCCCCACCUCUCCUUAUGAAAUUCUAGGUGUCCAUCUUGUAGGUGAAGCAGUUGGUUGGGAAGGCUUGAUUGUCUGUCACCUCCCCUGGCUGCUGUCACCAAAACCAAUUUUCCCCUUUCUCUUCCCAAACCUCAUCUGUUGCAUUAUUGUCUUCUUGAGUGAGGAGUUUGGCUGCUUGUUAGGCCACAGUCUUGGCAAACCCAGACAGGACAGGUGACCUUGAUUUGUCCAGGUCAAUGAACCUUGGGAUUCAUUCCCCUAGUUGGAGCAGUUGGCCAAGGCAGUGCACCGGGGCUGACUCAUUCAUUUCCUGAGUUCGUGGCUGUGAUAGACUGUUCAGUAACAAAAGCAUCAGACUGGAACAGUGAUUGCCUGUAAAUGACCAAAAAACUUAAAAAUGCCCGUGGGUUAAGAUCUGAUGAGAGUUCAUUUCACAAGCAAGUGUAGUUAUUUCUGUGGCAAAAAAUAAUUUAGGGUGAUAACUGAACAAUGAGGCUACUGACAAAUUUCUAGAACCUUUAAACAAUUUCUGGAAUACCUAAAUCAGUAAAUAGAUCCACAUGCGUAUAACCUAAGAAGGUUUAACAUCACUUCUUAUUUUACAGUGCUUCCCAUAUAACUUAACAUACCAAAUAAGCCUAAUUAGUUUAAUAUCUCUCCUUCACAGAGGUGAUAAGUCCUUUGAGGUUUCCAGGCACCCUGUAGCAAAUCUCAAAUCACAAAGACUCUAUUUAGAAUGAUUUAGAAAAGUUGUCAAAAUGGCAAAGGGUUUGAACAUUUGACUCAAUAACAUCGCAGAUCAUUAUGAAAUAAUACAUAAUUACCUAUUUAAUGAAAGUGACAAUAAAAGAUUUUAAAGGCAAAUAUGGAAGGUUACAUAGUUAUGAGCUCUUAAUAAAAUAUUAUUGAGCUUAAUAAAAUAAUAAAAGAGCUAAUACUUAGCUCUUUUAAUAUGAGCUAAUACUUAGCUCUUUUGAUAUUGAGAAGACUGAAUUUUCUUAAGUAAUCAAAGACCUGAAAAAGACAACAUGAAGCACAGGAAAUUAUUUUGGUAAGACACAAAAUCAUUGCUUUCCAGGUAGAUUACCCAAAAGGUUAAAAAAAAAAAAAACAAAAAACAACUUUCAGGAGCGUGGGUGGCUCAGUGGGUUGAACAUCUGAUCCUUGCUUUCGGCUCAAGUCAUGAUCCUGGGGUUGUGGGAUGGAGCCUUGUCAGAGUCUGUGCUGAGCGUGGAGCCUGCUUAAGAUUCUCUCUCUCUCUCUCUCUCUCUCUCUCUCUCUCAAAUAGAAUAACAAAACUAAAAAAAAAAAAAAAAUCUUUCACAGCUCUUACCGAGAACAGACCAAUAUGGUUGGACCUAGAGAAUAUCCUAAGUGAAAUAAGUCAAACAAAAAUAUCAGAUGAUUUCAAUUAUAAGUGGAAUCUAAAAGGCAAAACAAAUGAACAAACAGUAGAAACAGACCCCAUAAAUAGAGAGCAAACUGCUGGUGGCCGGAGGGGAGGGAGUGGGGGGAAGGGCAAAA